rnacentral:piRNA from 1 species
CACAAGGCAAAAAGGAUGACCUUC